rnacentral:rRNA from 1 species
UACGGAGGGAGCAAGCGUUACUCGGAAUUAUUGGGCGUAAAGGGCGCGUAGGCGAUUUGAAAAGUCUUGUGUGAAAGCCCCGAGCUUAACUCGGGAAGUGCACAAGAAACUGUUGAAUUUGAGUUCCGGAGAGGAAGGCAGAAUUCCCGGUGUAGCGGUGAAAUGCGUAGAUAUCGGGAGGAAUACCAGUGGCGAAGGCGGCCUUCUGGACGGAUACUGACGCUGAGGCACGAAAGCGUGGGGAGCAAACAGGG